UACGUAGGGUGCGAGCGUUAAUCGGAAUUACUGGGCGUAAAGGGCGCGUAGGCGGCCUGUUAAGUCGAACGUGAAAUCCCCGGGCUCAACCCGGGAACUGCGUCCGAUACUGGCAGGCUUGAAUCCGGGAGAGGGAUGCGGAAUUCCAGGUGUAGCGGUGAAAUGCGUAGAUAUCUGGAGGAACACCGGUGGCGAAGGCGGCAUCCUGGACCGGCAUUGACACUGAGGCACGAAAGCGUGGGGAGCAAACAGG
rnacentral:rRNA from 1 species